CAGUGGCCUUUGUGACUGCUUCAACUAAUAGAAUGUGGUCAGAGUGAUGCUGCACGGCUUCCCAGGCUAGGUCAUAAAAACGAUAGAGCUUCUUCCUGGCUCUUGCUUUCUGAACACUUGCCUUUGGAACACAGUUCAGACCCCAUGGAGAGGCCACAUGUCGGCAUUCUGGCUGAAAGACUCAGAUAAGAGUCAGAAGCCAGCGUCAAGUUCCAGGCAUAAAAGGUUUACCAUUCUCUUCAUUAUAUGAUUCCAGCCCCUGGUCUUCAAGCCAAUCCAGAUAUCUACUAAGAAGUAGAAUUGCUGGAUCAUAAGG